AUCCUGAAGUAGGGUUCCUUCUGGAUAUAUGACCAAGAGAAAAGUUUUAUGUCUUUUAAAGAAGAUGAGAUCUACUCUCCCUCUACCAGAGAGAAAAUAUAUUUAUUUAUAAAGCUUGUCAUAUCAAAAUUCUUGUUUACCAUUUCUGGUUCUCUUCACUGGGAGGAUUCAAGUCACCACCAGAAAUUUGUCAUUUUAUCACAGCUGUGUCCACACCCCUCCUCUGUGCUGUUAUUGUCAAAGAUACUACAUUUUUAUGUGUUAAAGGCCCAACAGCACGAUGCUAAUUAUAUGGUUUUAUGCAAUUCCUUUUUUAAAAGACAGGUUUUAAAAUAGCAGUUUUAGGUUCACAGCAAAAAUCGAGAGGGAAGUACAGAGAUUUCCCAUAAAGCCACACCCCCCGGCGCAUGAUGCACAGCCUCCCCCAUCAUCAGCAGCCCCGCCAGACGGCACGUUUGUUACACCUGAGGAGAUGCGUGGACACGCACCGCCCAAAGCGCACAGUUUACGUCAGGGUUCGCUCUCGGCACCGCGGUCUGUGGCUCUGGACGAGUUACAGGGGUGCGUGUCUAGAACAGUGUCAGGCCGAGUAUUUUCGUGGCCCUGAAAGUCGCCCGUGCGCCACCUGUUCAUCGCUCCCCCUCCCCCCCAGCAAGCACUGAUCUUUUUACUGUCUCUGUGGUUUUGUCUUUCCCAGAGUGUCAUGCGGUUGGAAUCCUACAACAUGUGACCUUUUCAGAUUGGCUUCUUUCAUUUAGUAAUCUGCAUUUAAGUUCCCUCCAUGUCUUUUCGUGACUUGAAGCUCAUUUAUUUUUAGUGCCGAAUAGUCUUACACUGUCUGGCUCUUCUCCAGUGUAUUUCUCCACGUACCUACUGCAUGGCAUCUCUGUUGCUUCCAAGUUCUGGCCGUUGUGAGUAAGGCUCCUGUAAAUACCCACGUGCAGGUUUUGUGUGGAGGUGAGUUUUCAGCUCCUUUGGGUGAACAUCAGGGAGCACGACUGCUGCGUUAGAAUUGUUUAGUUUUGUAAAAAUGCCAACUAUCUUCCGAAGCAGCCGUGCCAUCCUGCACGGCCGCCAGCCACAGAGGAGGGUUCCUGUUCUGCGUGCUCGCCAGCGCUGCUGGUGUCAGUGUCCCCGACCCUGGCGGUUCUGGUCAGGUGUGUGGUGGUACCUCGCUGUUGUUUUAAGUGCCUCUCCCUGAUGACGUAAGACCUGGAGCAUCUUUUCCUGUGCUGAUUUGCCAUCUGCAUGUCUUCUUUGGGGAGGUGCCUAUUAAGUUCCUUUGAGACUUUUUUUUAUAUGGGUUGCUUGUCAUCUGUGGUUGAGUCUCGUGUGUGCUUUGGAUAACAGCCCUUUAUCAGGUGUGUCCUUUGCAAAUACUUUCUCGCAGUCUGUGGUUUACCUUCCCGUUCUCUUGACAGUGUCUUUUGCAGAGCAGACAUUUAACAUUUUUACGUCCAGCUUCCCGUUCUUCCUUUCUUAGAUCACAGCUUUGGUGUUGUAUCUAGAAGUCAUGGCCAAACCCAGGAUCACCUAGGCCUUCUCCUGCGUGAUCUGCUUUACAUUUAGGCCUGGGAUCCACUUUGAGUUAAUUUUUGUGAAGGGUGUAGAUCUGUGUCUAGAUUCUUCUUCUUUUUUCAUGUGGAUGCCCAGUUGUUCCUGCACCAUUUGAUGAAAAGAGGCAAUUACUUUUUAAGUAAGUGAUAAGAAAGGAGAAGAAAUACGCAGUUACAUUGUUUUCUGUAAGUACCUACCUAGUGACCUUUCCUGGCAAUCUUUGUGUUCUUGGCGAGCAUGGAUCUGAAUGAUUGCUUCCAGCCUGAAGCGCCUCCCUCAGUGUAGUGUUUCUUUCUAAGGCAGGUGUGCCAGCAACAGGCUUCUCAGGUUUUGUUUCUCUGGAAAUGUCUUCAUGUCACCUUCACUGUUGAAAGGCAGUUUUGCUGGAUGUAAGAAUCUUGUUUCACUUCCUCCUUCAGCACUUGCAGUGUGUCUCCCCCCGCUUUCUGGUCUCCACUCUUUCUGAUGAGAAGCUUGCUGUUAAUCUUGCUGGGAUUCCCUGGAAUAAAAAGGAAAAUUGGGCUAAAGACUCUCAUACAGAAGUUAAUCUGAGCGAUUGAAGCCCGCUUCCCAGAAACGCAAGGAUGACCUCAAAGGGCUGUUACCCCGGAGUUACCAGGGAGGACACCUGUCUCCGGAGGCACUGGCGGGUGAGAGCAGGCGGGGGGCGCUGGAGGGCUGGGGUGGUGGGCAGGGGCCGGGCGGGGCGUGUUCUCGGCGUUCCCUCCAGAACCCCGUUCUCUGCCUCCAUCAGCUGCUUCCUUGACUCGAGCAGGAGUCCUGGGCCAGCUUUCAGGUGAGCUGCUGGCUGGUGUUUCCUCUGGGGGAGAGCUGGGAGCCCAGGUGUUGUCACUCCCGGUAGCAGCUGGCAGCUCCCCCAUCCGCUUUCUAACCUGGACGGGCUCAGCCCUGACACCUGCUGGAGCUGCUGUGGUGCUCACAGGAGUGCAGGCUGCCCCUGCUGCUUCCUCCCCACCUUGCCCGAGUAGGCAGGCCUCGCACCAGCUGGCAGCGCCGAAGCUCCCACGUGGUGAAGCCUGUGAGCGGCUCCAGGAACCGCUGCUCCUCACGAGAGCCGCUUAGCUCCCUGGAGUUUACCUAAGUGCAGAGCUUCCGGGAGCGGAACUCUGAACGUGGCCUCAGGAAGGAAUCCAGCCCAGAAAACUGUCAUUAGCGGCCGCCCGCGCUAGGAGUAGAGGUUCACGGGAGGGUAAGACACGAGCUAAAUGGAAUGGCGAUGGUAACAACAGUCAAGGUUAGCCGAGAACAUUCUCCAUGCCAGCCACUGGGCCAAACCCUUGGGACUCAUGACCUCCCUCAAUACAACAGCCUGGUGAGAUAGAUAGCGGCCCUUUUUCACAGCUGGAUAACCUGAGGCUCAAAGAGGUGAAGUAACCAGUCCGAGAUCACACGGGCUGAGUGGCAGAGCUGAGACCUCCGCCCCAGAGCUCAGCGCGCCCCGCCAACCCGCUCUGCCUUGCACUGCUCCUCACGAGAGCCGACUGGCCACAGAAUUUUCCAAAUGCAUGUGUCAUGUGAAAAUCCCACAUCUACCACGGAUUAGUUGUGCAGACAACUCCAAGAGGCUGGGAAGAGCAGGUUCAGCUCAAAACGACCCUAUUCAAGAAGCAGAUUCAGGGGCAAGUCCUGGGCAACCAGCCGCUACCACCACUGAGCCCCACUCCCUCAGUCGGCCUGUUUGGGAAGUCGUCUGGGAAGGUGAGACCCAGCUGCGGCGGCCUGAGAAACGAAGGCAGGGAACAAGCAGCCUCAGUGUGGCGAGGAGGAGGAAGGGGCGGGCAGGCUUCCUGCCCUGCGUCAUAGGCUGGGUGUUUGCAUCACACAGACCUGCUUCCUAAGCCCCACAGUCUUGGCUCCGCCUGCUGCCUUCCUGAGCUGCUUCUGGAUUCCAGCCCCGUCAGGCACUAAGUCCAGGAGGUCCCCAGGGAGAAACAGGAUGUCCCAAUGAAAAGGGCACUUGACGGAGGAGAGGCCAAAGCUGCUCUGGUGCCUGCAGAGGUCUCAGCCUGUCUUUUGAAUCUCGCGCUUGGGGCACGGUCUACACUGAGCCCAAGGCUGUCAGGUCCCUAACACCCCGGGGACUCAGCAGGUGGGACAUCACCGGCUACUUCCCAUCCCGCUCCCAGCGACCCUCCUGGUUGGGACCGCGGCGCCCUCCGCCCCACCCCAACUCCGCGCCUCGAGUUCCCCCACCCGUCCUCCUGCCGACCCAGGCUUUCCCCCUCCCGGCCCUCAAUCCAAUCCCAGUUUCCCCGCCC